CCAUCUCCAAUGUGGAAAUCCAUGACCCUGAGAUCAAGAGUGGUGUGGUCUACCAGCGAAGCCAGGCACCCCAAGCAGGAAGACAGAAAAUAAUGACAAUUUCCAGAAAGAGGAUAAUUUACUAGGAACAAACUAAACAUUCCAAACAGAGGACAUGUUCAACACGUUUGGACCACAUCCAACAGAGAGAGGGCAUCCCAGUGGAUCAAGGUUAAGAACCUUUUACCGUUGCACACUUGUGAUUCCAUUUCCUGGAGGGGUUUCAUUAAUUCUGUGUUUUGGAGGCAGUGCAAAGAGAAAACCGAGUUUGAAUUUAAGCCAUUCCAUUUACCAGAGCAGUGGCGUUCGGUAAGUCUCUGGGCUUUGGCUUCUGGAUCAGGUAACCAUGGGAGUAACUCCGGCCUGGCAGGACCGUGCAAAGGUUCAACUAGUUCCUAUUUUGUGCAAUUCCCAGCACAGGACCAAUGAAUGGUCAGGUUCACUGCCCCAGUGAGGGUGUGAGGAUUUACGAUGGGAUUUGCAAUGAAUGAAUGUUGCCCAGAAGUGAUAGAUGCUUAUAAACUAGACAGACUGUGUUAUUUAAUCAAUUUUACUUUUUAACUUUCUCUGAGCCCAAUGCAUACAUUAAUGGAACUCCCAAACAACCCACCCCUUUGGUAUUGCAAGUUCCCACUCCAGGCUUCAGGGCCCCCAGGCAAACCCUAAGUGUCCAUCCUGAGGAUGACUGCUUUCUCGUGGCCCCAGUGCUGCCAGAAGCUCCAUGGAAAACUGUUCCUGGACCAAGGGGAGAGGAUAACAGCCAUACACUCACUCCUGUGGGGACUCUGACAUAGUUUCAGGUAAAUACGAAUGAGAAGGAUUUGAGGACAAACUUGGGGAAGAAAGAAAGAGAAGGAAGG